UGGGGAAUUUUGCACAAUGGGGGAAACCCUGAUGCAGCGACGCCGCGUGAUUUAGAAGGCCUUCGGGUUGUAAAAAUCUUUUGUAUAGGAAGAAAAUGACAGUACUAUACGAAUAAGGUCCGGCUAAUUACGUGCCAGCAGCCGCGGUAAUACGUAAGGACCGAGCGUUGUCCGGAAUCAUUGGGCGUAAAGGGUACGUAGGCGGCUAGAAAAGUUAGAAGUCAAAGGCUAUAGCUCAACUAUAGUAAGCUUCUAAAACUAUUUAGCUUGAGAGAUGGAAGGGAAAGUGGAAUUCCUAGUGUAGCGGUGGAAUGCGCAGAUAUUAGGAGGAAUACCGGUGGCGAAGGCGACUUUCUGGCCAUUUUCUGACGCUGAGGUACGAAAGCGUGGGUAGCAAAC
rnacentral:rRNA from 1 species